AGGCCAGCUGAAUGCCAGUCCCGACAAGCAAGAGAGUGCACGUCAGGUGUGUGAGUGCAAGUCAGAGGAUUCUACAAUGAAGCACUUUUGAUGUUCAACCGAAGGGAUAGCUUUAAAAGUUUCCGUCACUAAUCCAGGAUUGCCCGCUCCCUUUCCACUGUACUUCAGGAUGAUGCUUCUGUAACAGAUGUGUCGACAACUGAACCCUUGAAAGCACUCUUGAAAAAAAAAAUUCAUCAAACCAUG